UGGGAGGGAGAGCUAAACCUUCAGAGAGGCAGACACGCCUGGGAAACCAGAAGAGACUGCACUCUGCCCACAUCACUGAUUCCAGAGGAAAACACCAAACUCCAUCUGGAACCCUGGUGCACUGAAGCUCCCGGAAAGGGCGGGGCAGAUCUUCCUGGUUGCUGCCCCCAUGGAGAGCUCAUAAGCAACACCCCAUGAGCAAACUUGAGCCUCGGGACCACAGGUAAGACAAACCAUCCUACUCCAAGUGACCUGCCUAGUGAACUCAGGACACAGGCCCACAGGAACACCUGAAGACCUGUAGAUAGGAAAAACUACACGCCCGAAAGCAGAACACUCUGUUCCCAUAACUGGCUG
rnacentral:lncRNA from 1 species